rnacentral:rRNA from 1 species
UACGUAGGGUGCAAGCGUUGUCCGGAAUUAUUGGGCGUAAAGAGCUCGUAGGCGGUCUGUCGCGUCUGCUGUGAAAACUCGGGGCUUAACCCCGGGCCUGCAGUGGGUACGGGCAGACUAGAGUGCGGUAGGGGAGACUGGAAUUCCUGGUGUAGCGGUGAAAUGCGCAGAUAUCAGGAGGAACACCGGUGGCGAAGGCGGGUCUCUGGGCCGUAACUGACGCUGAGGAGCGAAAGCCAGGGGAGCAAACGGG